rfam:Picea glauca, whole genome shotgun sequence.
GUUAGUUAAUCAUAAGAGAUGGGGAAUCCUUGUAUCUAGGGUGCACUCUGCAUGAACAUAUAAAGAGAAUUGGGUUAAUAUUCCUGAGCCGGGACAUGGUGGUGGACGACAAUGUUAGGAAAUCUGGAGAUGUCAUCGGGGGCCUGGGAAGAGUUAUCUUUUCUUUUUAACGACUUUCCCACUCUAAAAUCGGUUCAGCCAUAGAUAGGGUGAAACAUAUGAAAGAGAAACACACAUAUUACAAUGUUUGGUGACCCCUCAAUGGCCAUUGUAAAUAUGGUGAAUCGAGUACCAUCCAUGCUCGAUCG